rnacentral:rRNA from 1 species
CCCUUAGAUGUCCGGGGCUGCUCGCGCGCUACACUGUAGAAAGCAGCGUGCUUUAAAACCUUUCCUGAAAAGGAUGGGUAACCCCAGCAAAAUUCUACGUGCUUGGGAUAGAGAUUUGCAAUUUUCUCUCUUGAACGAGGAAUUCCCAGUAAGUGCGAGUCAUCAGCUCGCGUUGAUUACGUCCCUGCCCUUUGUACACACCGCCCGUCGCUACUACCGAUUGGGAAAAUUUUAGAGAGUCCUGGACUGAUGAUUGUUCGGCUUCACGGCCUUACUUUCGUCGGGAAAGAAUUCGAUAAUAUUUUUCUAGAGGAAGUAAAAGUCGUAACA